rnacentral:lncRNA from 1 species
AUGCCAACCACAUAGGUUGACAAAAGUCCAUUUGAAUCCUGUGUGACAUCUUGGCCUGUUUUGUCCUCAACUUGUAGCCAAACAUAUGGUGCAGGGCUUUGGAGAAGAAUCUUUAAACUGGCAGGGGCCCAUCGAUGUCACUGAGCAUGUACGCCCCAUUUUAGUCAACAUGGUUCCAAAUUGGAGCCGGAGCCCUGUCUAUUUGUGCUGAAAUAUGAGGAGGUCCAGAUAUUUUUAUAUCUCCUAAGCCUUCCAGAGAAGUAUAAUUAUCAGCACUCCAAAGAGCUAGGAACAUAAGCCAAAUCCAAACAAAUUAGGGAGUGAGAGCAGAAGAGCUACAGCUGUUGGGUCACACUGGGUAUAAAAUGGUUGAGGAUUUUCAGAAACUGGAGAAGAAUGUCACCUCAGUGAAAUUUCAGUGAUAAAAUGAACUUGCUCUUUAACACUUUUCUCUCCAAUACUAGAGGAAAUCAGCUCAAGAGGACAAUAGCUUCUAAGUAUGGAUGGAACAAAAAUGGAAAGGCAGAAAUGGAACCAACAAGAAGAACAUCUUGGGGCAUGAGUCAGCUUCCACAGAAAUCAUUUUCCCCAGCUUCCUCUGAAAGUACGUAUCUGAAUCUAUUUUUGCUUAUUCAUACCAUAUUUUCCUUUCCAAAUUAGGAAAUACACAAUUUACUGCAGGCAAUAUGUUGGAUGAAAAGGGCCUUUUGGAGUACUCUAGAAAAAAAAAAACUGUACAGA